rnacentral:rRNA from 1 species
ACAGAGGGGGCAAGCGUUAUUCGGAAUUAUUGGGCGUAAAGGGCGCGUAGGCGGCUUUGCAAGUGACGGGUGAAAUCCCUCGGCUUAACCGAGGAACUGCCUGUCAAACUGCAUGGCUUGAGACCAGGAGAGGUGAGUGGAAUUCCGAGUGUAGAGGUGAAAUUCGUAGAUAUUCGGAAGAACACCAGUGGCGAGGGCGGCUCACUGGACUGGUAUUGACGCUGAGGUGCGAAAGCGUGGGGAGCAAACAGGA